rnacentral:rRNA from 1 species
AGCGAACGCUAGCGGCGGGCCUAACACAUGCAAGUCGAGCGGAGGGAGCAAUCCUUCAGCGGCGGACGGGUGAGUAACGCGUAGGUAAUGUACCUUCUGGUGGGGAAUAACCGUGGGAAACCAUGGCUAAUACCGCAUAUCGUCCUUACGGAUGAAAGCCUUCGGGCGCCAGAAGAGCAGCCUGCGUCCCAUUAUUUAGUCCUAGUUGGUGAGGUAACGGCUCACCAAGGGUACGAUGGGUAGCUGGUCUGAGAGGAUGAUCAGCCACGCUGGAACUGAGACACGGUCCAGACUCCUACGGGAGGCAGCAGUGGGGAAUAUUGCGCAAUGGGCGAAAGCCUGACGCAGCCACGCCGCGUGAGUGAUGAAGGCCUCGGUUGUAAG